AGAGAGGGGGGUGGUGAGAGUGAGUGGGUAGAGAGAAGGAGAGCCAGAAUCCGAAGCGGGCUCCAGGCUUCAAGCUGUCAGCACAGAGUCCGAUGUGGUGCUCGAAUGCACGAACAGUGAGAUCAUGACCUGAGCCAAAGUCAACGCUUAACUGACUGAGCCACCCAAGUGGCCCAAAAAAGCUUUAUUUAAUUCAAUAUAUUUAAUCCAAUUGGGAAAUCCAAUCUGUUACUUUCAAAACACCUUUCAGAUAUAUUCUUUUGAUAAAUUAGUGUUUUAAAUAUAUUUUCAUCAUAAUAUAUGUUUCAUUAAAUAUCUAAUUCAUGAAAACCUUGGAGCUGCACAUUUAAUCAAUUUAUGGUAAAUGUCCACCAUUUAAUGAAACCAAGUCAAAUAUCCACUGUAUCAUCAAUAAAUCAAAUAACUAAAUCAGACUUUGUUUCUGUCUGAAAAAGUCUGACUUGAAAAUUUCAGUGUUGUGUUAGUGAAUUUUGAAGAAUGUUAUAAAAAAGCAUUAAGCACAUGAUAGAACACUUUUUGUAAGAGAUGACUAAAAGCAGUCAAGGUCUAAAAUCACACAGAUUUAACAUAAUUUUUAAAGAAGCAAGAUAAAUCAAUGUACUCUUUCUCAGUAUUUAACUUGUAACAAGUCAUCUGUAAGCUAAGAUUAUGUUAAAGAAGCAAGUAGGUUUUUAAGGCAAAAUAUUCUUUCAAUAAAGCUGUGUGCUUAUAGUGAACUAAAGAAUUGGUUCACUCAAUUCUUGGUAGAAUUAAGAAUCAAAAAUAACAUUAAAUUAAUUAGAUGGGAUCAGACUUUUCCUAUAAAAUGUUAUACAGGUUGCUAAAAACUAACUGGUGUGGCAGCCAGAAUCUAUUUUCUGUUAGUAGGUGGUAGGAAAUAUUUAUCAUCUCAUGAGAUUAAAUUAAGAUUUGGCUGUAUUUGGAAUAAAUAUUUCAUGAUAUGCAUGGAAAGUUGUUUGCAAAUUUUAUUCAGUGCAUCAUGAAAAUUUUGGUAGUCAUAUUUUAAGUUAGAAUUAAAAUGGUCAGCAUUGGGGCAACUGAACCGCUCAAUUGGUUGAGUGUUCUGCUCUUGAUUUUGGCUUGGGUCAUGGUCUCGUGGUUUGUGGGUUUGAGCCCAGCAUUGGGCUCUGCUGGCAGCGUGGAGCCUGCUUGGUUGGGACUCUCUCUCUCUCCCUCUUUGUCUGCCCCUCCCCUGCACACACCUGUUCUCUCUCUCUCAAAAUGAAUAAACUUUAAAAAAAAGGAAAAGAAAGUUCUCCUCCUUAAAAAAAUAAAUGAUCAGCAUCACUAAACUGUUUUUGUUUUGACUGCUCAAAGGUAGUUUUCUUUCCAGUCAGUGAUGGUUCCAAAGACGAGUAUUUUAUUUUGUUUUUAUUUUUAUUUUUAUUUAUUUUUUAAGUUUAUUUAUUUUGAGAGAACAUGCGAGUGCACGCACGCAAGCAGGGGAGGGACAGAGAGGGAGCGAAUCCCAAGCAGGCUCCGCACUGUCAGCACAGAGCCCGACUGAGGGCUUGAUCCCACAAACUAAAAUGAUGACCUGAGCCGCCAAAAUCAAGAGUUGGACGCUUAACCAACUGAGCCACCCAGGCACUCUAAGAUGAGUUUUAAAUAGCAGGAAAAAUUACUUAUGAGAAAAGAUGUAGCAUUCGGUAUUUUCUUUCUUUUUUGAGUUUAUUUGUGAGAGAGAAAGAGUGUAAGCAAAAGAGAGGCAAAGAGAGAGAAGAGAAAGAAUCCCAAGCAGGCUCCACGCUGCCAGCCCAGAGCCCAACGUGGCUCACGAACCAUGAGAUCGUGACCUGAGCUGAAAUCAGGAGUCGGAGGCUUAACCGACUGAGCCACCCAGGCGCCCCUAGCAUUUAGUAUUUCUCGCCGGUAUUUCCUGCUUUGCUGGUGUGGCUUCCGUCAGGAGGGAUGUACUUCACAGGAAUCUGAAGAUGAAGUGGCCAGUUUGUUAAACAAAACCCUCAUCCCUUCCACUGUACUAUACUUUACCACAUGCCCAAAACUUGAGCAUUCUUACGAUUCCCCAGAUGCCCCCUCUGUAAAUCUCCCUUAACAGAAAUACAGAACAAGGAAAGUCAGGAAGCCCCAAAGACUAACAACACACUGUGCUCUGUAGAUCUUAAUGCCUCAGGGCAGUACAGUCUUCUUAGUACAGGUUGGAGAGAUGACUGAUGUGCCUUUGGAUGGAAGGAAUAUUGUGGAUUCAGUGUGGUUGUCUUUCAGAUUGCUCAGUUUGAGGGAAGGGUAUGUAUGGAGGAAGUUUGCUUGAGGUGCCAGGGUGCCUCAGUCUGUUAAGCGUCCAACUCUUAAUUUGGGCUCAGGUCAUGAUCUCAGGGUUCAUGAGAUCGAACUCCAUGUCAGUCUCUGUGCUGGCAGCAUGGAGCCUGCUUGGGAUUCUUUCUCCAUCUGUCUCUCUCUCCUUCAAAAUAAUUAUUUACAAGAAAAACUUUAAAAUUACCCUUGCUCAAGGACCCCUUUAAAGGUUUUAAGGUACCCCUCAUAGGGUUAAACAAACCCCAUAUGAAGGCCUCUGGUCCAGAGUGUUGAAAAGUUCUGCCCUUAUUUCUGUGUGUUGUAAAAUGUUUUCCAUGAGUGAUACUGUGGGUUUUCUUGAGUCUACGUUUGAUAAGAGCUCUUAUUUAGGACUUUCUCGGUGAGCACUGAGAAAACUCGUUUAAUCUUUUGUAGGGGGGUGUAAAACAAACUAUCGUGCCCCAGCCUCAUUAAUGUCAUAAAGCUUAUCCAUCAACCAGCCAACACCAAGCCUUUUGAGUUCCCUUUAUCAGAUAAUGUCAAGAACACCUGGGUUAGCGUUCUUCCCACCUCAGUCUAGUGCUUAUUCAGCCCUGAGCUGUGUUGAAAUUGCACACAUACUAGGUAGAAUGUUAUGAAACAGUUUUCAGUGCAGACAGCUGAGACCCAGUCACUUUCUCUGUUGAGUGUUUGAGCGAUUACACCGUACUUCUGCUAGCUUGCUUAAAAUGUAUAAGGGGCCCCACAGGGAACAAUGCCCAUGACUUUUGUUCGUGCUCUGUAUAUAGCGAGAAAAAUGUGGGAACUACAAACAGUAACUUAAUGAUGACUCAAGAAGUUCAGGAAAGACAGUAUAGGGCCAUAUAUCUGCCUGGUGCACCUGUCAUCUCUACAAGGCCCUGGACUAGUUUGCUGUAGCCUCUGGAAAGAGAAGAGUUGGCUACCGACUCCUUGCCAUUGAUGUUUCAUCUCAUUUGUCGGAAUAGCGUGAAGACCUAGAUUUUAAACCUGUUCUGGACUCUCACCCUGACCCACAGAACCUGCAUCAUCUGCUUGGGUAACACCGAACCAGAUUUCACCUGAUCCUUCUGAACUGAGGGAGGGGAAUAUCACAAAAGCACCAGAAGAACACUAGCCUCCCAGAGGCCUGAUGGGAUUUCCUGUACCAGAACGACUCGGACAGAGAAAGAGCCUCAUUGUUCAGAGCCAGCAGUUGGCAGUGAAGGGCCAGGAUCCUGGAUCAUUGUUAAUGUUUUCGACCCCAAGGAAAAUGACCGUCAUGCCUUCUCAUCUUACUGCUGCCAAGUUCGAGUCCAGCGGAGGGCCCGAUGCUACGGAGACACAUUGGUGGAUCCCAGCUUUUAUGACCCAGACCAUUCUCUAAGAAGCAGUGUACCAAACUCUGGUUUCAUGGAAGCUCUCCUGACCCUCUACUCAGGAAUUCCCCGAUGGACUGUGACAAGGCUGUCCAUCACCCACAAGUCCUCCUAGCAGUGGAGAUGUACGAGGUAAGUUUCCUAAGUCUCUGAAAGGAAGGCAUCUGGAAGGUGCUUUAUCCUCAAAUGACAUAAAAACGAGCAGGUGCCAUCACAGUGCACAUCAGGCUGCAUCUCAGGCCCCCGCCUGACACUCUCCCUGGCUGCUCAGCCCCUUUCUCCCCAGACCAGGGAAUAUAAGUCACCAAGCUUGGCCAGGGAGAAAGCCAGCAGGAGAAGACAAAGACACAUAUUUGAACCAGUAGAGCAUGACAGAGGACUGGAUACCAGUUUGCUGCGGGACAAGAUCAUGAGAAUACGAGUGGCUGUUACUCCGAGUCUCAAACACUUGGGUUCCACAUAGAUGCCCAAGAGACCAAUUUUGCGCCACGAGAGACUGGGCCAUGCCCAAGGGUAGAUAUCAGGGUUCCUGGUCAAAAGAUGGCAAAUCCCAGCUCUCCGUGAAAAUUGGAGAAAACAAGGAGAGUUCUGCAGAAACACUUUCCCUGUUCCACGAGUGCCAAAAAACACACCUUCUCAGGACGGCUGGUCAGGUUAGAUGUCAUGGUGGUUUUUCCUGUGAAAACUAUAGACUGGUAGAAAAUAACCACAUGACCUUCACAGUUUCAGACAGCCGAGCUACUGACUUUUUGGCUGUGCCUUUUAUAGGAAUAAACUUUUUUGGGGAUUGAGGCCAAGAUAUUUGUCCUCCAUUUUCAUACUCUGAUAAGAAAAGGCAGAAAAAUCAGAUGACCAAGAACCCACCAGGAACACUGAAACUACCUUAGGUAAGCAUUCACAACUAGGUUAUACUUUUUUAAAAGAUAUGUCCAUCUACCCCUUUGCCAUUACUUUACUCCCCCCCAAAAGGUUUGGCUGACAUAAUAUGAAUACAGUUGACGUAUUUUCCUUUGUACUGAGACCAUGGGGCCCUUGUUCACAGCCUUAACAGCCACUUGAACUCUUCUAUCCUGUAACCAUCAUCUAAAGCAUCUUUGAGAUACACACACACACACACACACACACACACACACACACACAGAGCUGCAUAUUACAGGAAAGAAAACUCCACCUGCCACCUGACAAUGCCCAAUGUGAAACAGCACUGGCCUGGGAAUGCCUGUGCUGCCCACUUGGAGCAAAUCACUGAAUCUGUCCAGGCUUCAGCUUUCUCCUCUGAGGUCCUUUCUGGCUCUGACCUUCUUGUUUGCUAAUAAUGCCCACUAACUUCUCUUCUCUUCCCACUCACUUUUCCCUAAAUACCUCUACUUUCCUCUUGUGGUGAGUCCACAGGCUGUCUUCACUUUAGUCUUGGCUCCUGGACAACCUCGCCAAAUGAACCAUUUCCUCUUCUCCCCACCCCAGCUCAAAGCUCUAACGUCUCUUUUCCCUGACCCUGGGUCUCCCAAGGAGGCCCGGCCACACAGACCACAGGCUCCAACACCUUUCAGCAACUCUCCCAAGUAUUCAAGUCAAGCGUGUCCUCAAUUUUCUCCUUUAGAGCAGAAAACAACACCCGACAGGCCACAACUCUUCAAGUAUGUCCUUCUGGACCCUAUACCCUGUCUUUUACAGCAAGUCCCUUCCACACCCCUUUCUCCGAGUUCAAAAGCGGGGCAUGAACAGGGCAGGGGGCAGGCCAGGGCUUCCAGACUUGGAAGAUCCCACAGGUCAAAGCCAUCCUGACCCUGCCCCCCCCCCUGGGUCCAACCGGCCUGCACCCCGCCCCCAAGCACUCCUGGAGCCUCCUUCGACUUGUCCCUCACCCACCU